rnacentral:lncRNA from 1 species
GGAAAUUGGGGGUUCUGAAGGCACUUGUCUUUAACCUCACGCAACCAAAAAUUCUCGAAGAAACACCGGUUUGAAGUCGUCCAUUCAUCGUUCCCGUUCACUGUCCGAAAAAAGGUGAAGCUUUUAUCUUGUUGAGAUUUUUCCUUCUUCGUGAAUGUCCAGAAUUUGAUCUUUAUAAUUUUUGCCGCUGAACUUUUCUUGAUCAUCUGUUUAGCUGUAAUUAAUGUUAUUUCACGUCCGAUAGCUAGUUGAAAUCCGGCCAUAUUUUAUAUAUUGUUGUGUUCACUGGAAGUAGAAAAUCCCAUGUUGUAAGUAGAUUAGUCAAUAAAGAGAUAAUGUUUAUUAGUGGACCUAGAGAGAUGAACAACUGGAAAACUUUGGUACAAAAGGAUAAAUUUAUCUUUUCUGAAUCAAUGAUGUGAAGAUGUUUUGUCUUGUGGGUAGGCAGCAUUUUAAUGUUAGUUUUCUUUCCUUUCAUAUGUUUUCCAGUAACCUGUCAAGUCAUGGAAAGUCUUGACGUUUGGUUCAAAAUGGUGAAAUGAUGUUUACUUUUCUUUUCUUUUUUUUUUCUUUUGGAGUUUUUUGCAAUAUAAAAGUUGAAGUCUCAAAAAAGAAAAAAAAAAUAUAUUGUUAAUGUAUUUGAAAUUCAUAUGCGUGCUGCGGAUGAUUUGUUUAUGGGUCUCCAAUUUGAAAAGAAAUUGUUAGGACGCUUAUAAAGUUAUUAUGGAUCACAUGUUGGUAGAUGUAUAAUUCGUUAACCUUUAUUAAACAUUUUGUGGGGAUUCUUGGUAAAAAUGAUAAUAUGUGCUAUUGUGUGUCGAUUGAAUUUUUGAUUUCGUAACGGAUGAGUUUGUGAGUAUAGAAUGUUUUCUUUUAGCUAUGAAUGUUGUGCUUGAAUACUUGAUCUACUUCUUCAUACUAAUCUUUAUCCUUUUUUUUUAUGCAUGAACUCGCUCGUCGAGUCCCUCGGACUCCCUUCUCUCACGUUCCAUUGGGUUAGACCCAACUUGCAUCGAGUCAAACCUCAGAUCCAAGUCCCAAGGGGACUAAUUUCGCACUGGUAUACAAUUAUAUAUGGCUGGUAUACAUUGGAAGCAGCUGCUGCAUACUACUACACCGAGCAAAAUAAAAAAUGGAGGGAAAAUAAGCAAAUUUUCACGCUGAUAUACAGUAUAUAUACACAAAAACGUGGAGAAAAUAGCUUCAGUAUACAAGUGGCAUACACUUCAGAAAAUGGACUGAAGUCCAUAAUUCCAAGCCCAAAAAUGGGCAGCUAGCUUUGUUGUUGGGCCAAUUAAAGGCCCAAUUUAAUUCUUGUAUCAUAAGUUGUGUAUUUGUGUAAUUUUUAGUUGUUUUUUAUAGCUUGUAUUGUUUGUUUGUGUUAACUAACAUUUCUAAAUUAAUUAAUCUAGGUAAAUUACCUAAGAUAUUGUCAUUUUAUUUUAUCUUAGUUCCCUUUACUUAAUUCAGGACUUUUUUCAUCUAAUAUUAUUUCAU